CAGCUUUCAACAGCUCGGAAAAUCCACUGCAUCCCCAGGGUCACCAGUGUUGCCUUAUUUCUACACUCCCUGAAAGCAAUGAUGUCAGGAUCAGGGCAUGUGGGAAUCCACGUCCCCCUGCCUGCUGCUUCCUGCAGCAGCUCUCCUGCCCUGUGCAAUUACCAAAGUGUCACUGCUCAUUUGGACAGUGAUGGGAGGGUGGAAGGAGAAGGAACGCACGACAUGGCUGAAAUACAUCAAACCCAGAAGCUUCAUUAACCAUGCUCCAGAGUUAGUAUUCAGACCUUCCUGGUUCUCCAAGGCUGCUUUUAGUUGUCUGAAAGCUUUUAAGUGCAGAGCCACUGGAUAUGUUCCAAAUUGUGUGACUGUGAUGCUGUCCAUGACCUCCUUCAGGCUCCCUGGACUGUUUGCCUCCAAGGUUCACCACCUGACCCAUAAAAUCAAUACACUGUGAUGAUGUA